AUUGAACGCUGGCGGCAUGCCUUACACAUGCAAGUCGAACGGCAGCACGGGUGCUUGCACCUGGUGGCGAGUGGCGAACGGGUGAGUAAUACAUCGGAACAUGUCCUGUAGUGGGGGAUAGCCCGGCGAAAGCCGGAUUAAUACCGCAUACGAUCUACGGAUGAAAGCGGGGGACCUUCGGGCCUCGCGCUAUAGGGUUGGCCGAUGGCUGAUUAGCUAGUUGGUGGGGUAAAGGCCUACCAAGGCGACGAUCAGUAGCUGGUCUGAGAGGACGACCAGCCACACUGGGACUGAGACACGGCCCAGACUCUUACGGGAGGCAGCAGUGGGGAAUUUUGGACAAUGGGCGAAAGCCUGAUCCAGCAAUGCCGCGUGUGUGAAGAAGGCCUUCGGGUUGUAAAGCACUUUUGUCCGGAAAGAAAUCCUUGGCCCUAAUACGGUCGGGGGAUGACGGUACCGGAAGAAUAAGCACCGGCUAACUACGUG
rnacentral:rRNA from 1 species